rnacentral:rRNA from 1 species
UACGGGGGGGGCAAGCGUUGUCCGGAUUUACUGGGCGUAAAGGGCGUGCAGGCGGUUUGUCUAGUCUAGGGUGAAAGCUCCCGGCUUAACUGGGAGAGGUCCUUGGAUACUGGCAAACUUGAGGGAGGCAGAGGAAAGUGGAAUUCCCGGUGUAGUGGUGAAAUGCGUAGAGAUUGGGAAGAACACCGGUGGCGAAAGCGCUCUACUGGGCCUGCACUGACACUGAGGGACGAAAGCUAGGGGAGCGAAAGGG